UCAUUUCCCGGUAAAUUUCUACCCUUCAGCCCCACUUUUCUCCAGUCUCCAUACCCACUCCUCCCCUUGACCUCAGUAACCUGGUUUCUUGAGGUGUGUGUGUGUGUGUGUGUGUGUGUGUGCACAAAAAGUAUUCAGGAUCAAGGAGGGCUGGGCACAGUGAGACAAGCACCCAACCUUCCCCAGAUACUUCAGGUCUCCAGCUGCCAUGCUCCAGUGCAGACAGACAAUCGGAUGGGGCUUGAGGUAGAGAGGAAUAGGACAGUUCAGUGACGAAGCCCCAGCUCAGCUCACAUUAGACUCUCCAGAGCCCUUCGUGUGCUCUGUCCUAUGUCGGCUUGGCACGGGGAAGGCCUCUUGUCUCUGAAAGUAACUGCUUUGUCCAUUCCAACGAAGACCUGCAUCUUGGUGAUGGGAAAUGACUGGUUCUGUUUUCUUGCAGUCCAACUUUAGCAAGGAAGACGGCGCUUAAAGCAGGGGGCGGAUUCCAGGCUGCACCCAGGUAGGAGUCUCUGCCGAGCUCUGCCAAAGGCAAGUGAGCUGAGCAGAGUGACUAUGUCAACCGGAGAGCAGGGCACCAGCCAACCUUCCCCUCUUCAGCCCUUGUGUGAUGGGGAGCCCCCACUGCCAGUCCUGAGACCUGUACCUCGGAUCUCAGCAAUGAAAAAUCCUACUUGACCUAAAAGUAUAAAUAAAUGUGUGCUAAAUGU
rnacentral:lncRNA from 1 species